AACUUUCAACAAUGGAUCUCUUGGUUCUGGCAUCGAUGAAGAACGCAGCGAAAUGCGAUAAGUAGUGUGAAUUGCAGAAUUCAGUGAAUCAUCGAAUCUUUGAACGCACAUUGCGCCCCUUGGUAUCCCAUGGGGCAUGCCUGUUCGAGCGUCAUU
rnacentral:rRNA from 1 species